UACGAAUAUGAUACCUCCUGUAUCGACUCAGAUUCAAAUAUCGAUUGAUUCCACCGAUUAUACAUUUAACGGACCUAAUCCGGAACUAGCAGCAUUUCCGCAAUGUCCAACUACAAGUUCAUUUUCUAUAUCGCAACCUGUUACCCAAAGUCAACAAUUGUCUACUUCAUCAUCUAUUCCUCUAGAAUGCGCGUUUAAUUUUGAUUCGUCACCAGGAGAUCAUACAGCUGAACCUGGUUCAAUCCAGUCCGAAGGAUUUAAUUUUAAUCCCAAUACUAGACCAUCGUUCCGUUUUAGUGUUUAUGAAUUUAAGUAUCUACAAAAUAUAAAAUUAUUUUACACAUUAAUAGCAGGAUCUUUUUUCCAUAAAAAAAUGUGUUGCCAUGUGUUGUUUUAGUGCACCUACUCAAGUACAACGAGAUACUGCGUCUACUCGAGUACAACGAAAUACUGCGAAAGCUUUUAGAAGAUUAAAAUAGGAGUCAAGUAACGGCAUUCUUUUUAUACAGUUGCUCAUGAAGGUAUUCAUAUUCUUGCAGAAGACACCUUUUAUGAAUAUACUAUAUGUCUUGAAAGAAACAUUUUGAAAUGUCAUUAGUAUUGUAACAAAAUCCGAUUGUCAUAGCUAUAUUGGUAAAGUUUUUAGCAAAUCUGAAAAUAUACAUAGAUAUUACAAAACACCUAACACAAGUAUGCAGAUAUUUUGUAGAAAUCAAUAAAGUAUUUAAACAGUCAUUUAACAUUUCAUCAAACAUUUUCCAUAUGUAUGAAAUAAGCCUAAAUAUUUACUGGAACCACUUUUGAGAUUUUUUCUAGGCAUACCAAGGAGGCUAUUAAUGCUGUGUGCUAAUCUUUAUUAAAUAUAUGUUUGUAAAUACCUUUUAUGUAUAUUUUCAGAUUGGUUUUUGGCUUUUCUAUCAUAAAAAUAGUAGUUGCAAAAUACUUUUAUGAGCCAUUGUAUCUAUUUCAUACAAUCGUGAGAAAACAAGUCGAAGACGCUUCGUUUUCGAAGAAAAAAGAAAAAAGAAAAAAGAAACGAUUUUGAACAUUUUCUCGAUGCUGCUAUACGCACAUACUCUUUAUGAUAUAUCAAUUCUUGGAUCAAUAACGAACUUUCAUUAUUGAUGAUUUGCUGCUAGUGGAUGAGGAAACUUAAUAAAAUAUCGAAUGUCUGCAAUUUAUUGAGAAUAACGAGUUUAUGUGGGUAACAGAUAUAUCCUUUCAUUAAGCAUAGGUCUUAUAUAACUCGUUUAUAGUUGAGAAGGAAAAUACUAAUCAGUACUAAUUAAAUUCAUGAAUUAAUAACUUUUUUUUUUGUAACGAAAGAAAUGUUGCGAUGCAUAAUGUACAAUGUAUUGAAUUUGCUUCAUACAUUUAAUUGAUUCUGAACAAUUAUCUUUGCUUCAUUAUUUUUGAAUAAAUUCAGUAUUUACAACUUAAUAAUUGUAAUAAAAUUAUAUCAUUCAGAUAAUAAGAAAACGCGUAAUAAUAAUUAUUACGAUGCAAAAAAAAAAAAUAAUAAGUAUAUCUAUAAUGAGAGAAAAUAUUAACAACAAUUAAUAUACAAAUAAUAAGUUUGUGUUUGAAAGUAACUUAUUGGCAAAUUGAUAAUGUAUCUUUCAACGUAGAGAUCUUGCAAGUUGUAAAACGUAGAAGGACGAGUUAAGUGUUCUGAGACCUUAUUAAAUCUGUUGCAACUGUGCAUAGCUAUUUGCAAAUCAAGAUGUGUAGAUGUUCGAGAUGCCGAAGCACUGUUCGUUAUGAAUAACACGCAGCGUAGUUGCACCUGUUACAUCUCUGUCGAGCACAAUUAUAUUAGUUCCUUUCGUAAUCUACCUGAAUAUACUACCUCCCUUCUCGCUAAUA